rnacentral:rRNA from 1 species
GAUGAACGCUGGCGGCAUGCCUAAUACAUGCAAGUCGAACGAGAGGAAGGAAAGCUUGUUUUUCUGAAUCUAGUGGCGAACGGGUGAGUAACACGUAGGUAACCUGCCCAUGUGCCCGGGAUAACUUCUGGAAACGGAUGCUAAAACCGGAUAGGUAGCAGACAAGCAUUUGACUGCUAUUAAAGUGGCUAAGGCCAUGAACAUGGAUGGACCUGCGGUGCAUUAGCUAGUUGGUGAGGUAACGGCCCACCAAGGCGACGAUGCAUAGCCGGCCUGAGAGGGCGGACGGCCACAUUGGGACUGAGACACGGCCCAAACUCCUACGGGAGGCAGCAGUAGGGAAUUUUCGUCAAUGGGGGAACCCUGAACGAGCAAUGCCGCGUGAGUGAGGAAGGUCUUCGGAUCGUAAAGCUCUGUUGUAAGAGAAAAACGACAUUCAUAGGGAAUGAUGAGUGAGUGAUGGUAUCUUACCAGAAAGUCACGGCUAA